ACUCUCGGCAACGGAUAUCUCGGCUCUCGAUCGAUGAAGAACGAAAGCAAAAUGCGAUACUUGGUGUGAAUUGCAGAAUCCCGCGGAACCAUCGAAGUCUUUGAACGCAAGUUGCGCCCCAAGCCUUCUGGCCGAGGGCACGCCUGCCUGGGUGUCACAAAUCGUCGCCCCCAUCCUCUCGAGGAUAUGGGAUGGAAGCUGAUCUCCGCGGUUACCGCGACGCGGUUGGCCAAAACCGAAGCUAAGGACGCCGAGCGCCUUGACAUGCGGUGGUGAAUUUAAUUUCGCCAUAUAGUCGACGUUCCGUCCAAAAGCUCUUUGAUGACCCAAAGUCCUCAACGCGACCCCAGGUCAGGCGGGAUCACCCGCUGAGUUUAAGCAUAUCAAUAAGCGGAGGAAAAGAAACUAACAAGGAUUCCCUUAGUAACGGGCGAGCGAACCGGAAGAGCCCAGCUUGAAAAUCGGAUGUCUUCGGCGCUCGAAUUGUAGUCUGGAGAAGCGCCCUCAGCGACGGACCGGGCCCAAGUUCCCUGGAAAGGGCGCCAGAGAGGGUGAGAGCCCCGUCGUGUUCGGACCCUGUCGCACCACGAGGCGCUUGUCUACGAGUCGGGUUGUUUGGGAAUGCAGCCCCAAUCGGGCGGUAAAUUCCGGCCCAAGGCUAAAUAUGGGCGAGAGACCGAUAAAUAACAAGUACCGCGAGGUAAAGAUGAAAAGGACUUUGAAAAGAGAGUCAAAGAGUGCUUGAAAUUGUCGGAGGGAAGCGGAUGGGGCCGGCGAGCGCGCCCUGGUCGGAUGCGGAACGGAGCAAUCCGUCCGCCGAUCGAUUCGGGCGUGGACCGACGCGGAUUAAGGUGGUGACCUAAGCCCGGCUUUUUGUUACGCCCGCGGAGACGCCGCUGCCUUUAAUCGCGGGUCUGCAGCACGCGCCUUCACGGCGUGCCUCGCAUCUGCGUGUUCAGGGCGCCGGCCUGUGGGCUCCCAUUCGACCCGCCUUGAAACACGGACCAAGGAGUCUGACAUGUGCGAAGUCAACGGGUGAGUAAACCCGUAAGGCGCAAGGAAGCUGAUUGGCUGGAUCCCUCACGGUGCACAGCCGACCGACCUUGAUCUUCCGAGAAGGGUUCGAAAGUGUGAGCAUGCCUGUCGGGACCCAAAGAUGGUGAACUAUGCCUGAGCGGGCGGCAGAGGAAACUUCUGGUGGAGGCCCGCAGCGAUAUCGACGUGCAAAUCGCUCGUCUGACUUGGGUAUAGGGCUUAAAGACUAAUCGAACCAUCUAGUAGCUGGUUCCUCCAAGUUUCCCUCAGGAUAGCUGGAGCUCGGAAACGAAGUUCUAUCGGGUAAAGCCAAUGAUUAGAGGCAUCGGGGACGAAUGUCCUCGACCUAUUCUCAAACUUUAAAUAGGUAGGACGGGGUGGCUGCUUUGUUGAGCCAUCCCACGGAAUCGAGAGCUCCAAGUGGGCCAUUUUGGUAAGCAGAACUGGCGAUGCGGGAUGAACCGGAAGCCGGGUUACGGUGCCCAACUGCGCGCUAACCUAGAACCCACAAAGGGUGUUGGUCGAUUAAGACAGCAGGACGGUGGUCAUGGAAGUCGAAAUCCGCUAAGGAGUGUGUAACAACUCACCUGCCGAAUCAACUAGCCCCGAAAAUGGAUGGCGCUGAAGCGCGCGACCUAUACCCAGCCGUCGGGGCAAGAGCCAGGCCUCGAUGAGUAGGAGGGUGCGGCGGUCGCUGCAAAACCUAGGGGCGCGAGCCCGGCGGGAGCGGCCGUCGGUGCAGAUCUUGGUGGUAGUAGCAAAUAUUGUUAGUCGAUCCGGGGAAACCGUCGAUAGCGCUUAUCGUGAACCGAAAGGGGAUCCGGUUAAAAUUUCGGAACCGGGACGUGGCGGUUGACGGCAAUGUUAGGGAGUCCGGAGACGUCGGCGGGAAUUCCGGAAAGAGUUAUCUUUUCUGUUUAUGUUGUGGUCACGAAAUCCAUGGUUCAACCAGAGUCUCACCAAACCGUCCAAACCGGCCAUCUAGGAGGUACCAGCGACCGAGGUUCAGUCCAAGGCGUAUAUCUCUACAACCAGAAGGACUUUCAACAUGAAACCACUUUUAUUGGAUUUUAUACUCAAGAAGGAGUCCAGCCCAAUUGGAAUCGAGGCAAAUAAUUCACGGAGCAAGAAGUUAUGAAUUUUACAAGUCAGAAGUUUCCCAGCCCGUCCAUCUGCGAGUACCCGACUUUAGAAGGAGAUUCCAGCCCAAGGAAGGAGCGGCCUGAAGAAAAGCCCAUCAUUGGAGUCAAGAGAAGUUUCGCAGCUUUCCAGAAAGCCCAAUAUCAGGAGAAAUGGCCACGGAAUUAUGAAGUUAUGAUCCAAUCUCCAAAACCGGCCAAACCAGUUCUACACUUGCCUCAAUUGGAAGCUAGCCGGUUCAUUCAGCUUCAAACCAGACAUUGGGAGAUCAUUUCAACCAAUCAGGAGACAUCAUACACGGCCAAGAGGAGUUAUACAAGUCCAUACCAUGCACCAGCAGCCAUUGGAUCAGGAGGAUCCUCAUUUACUCAAACCUGCCUUAUUUGGAGCAAACCGACAUUAAUGUCCAACAGCUCUUUCCUCUUCAGUUUAGGCACGACCUCAGCACAUUCCAAGCAGUCAAGAAGGUUCCCAGGAAGCUUACUUAUCCCCUUAAACCAUCCAGGUUCAAGAAAGAUCAGAUUCUUUACUUGGAGCCAAAAUCCCACAAAAGGCUCCAACGGCUAGUUUUCGAUUUCUUUCUUAGUUUUCAAUUUGUUUCCUUUUCUAUUUGUUUUAGAACGUUAGGAUCUUUGUCUCUGAGCAUUAUAUAAGCUCCUAGACGUCCAUUGUAAAGAACACCCUUAAUCACCAAGUUAAUAAAAAGUUUAUUCAGUUUUAUCAAAGUUGUUCUUUGUAUAAAAUAUCGGUCUUUAGGAUUCAAAGAGAGAUUCUUUGUUGUCUUAUUGAUUUCGUGAGUCUAGUUUGUUUGUGAAAAUCAAACAAGCUCAGUACACAUAUUGAGAGAGUCAAUCACUUCGAUCCAUCAUUCCAUCAGAUUGAGAGAUUCAAUCAAACCUUCCUCCGCAAAUCCACUUCAGUUCAUCCUUUAAUCAAGCUGAGAGUGAUACACAUCCAGCAGCUUGAUUCCAUUCUAUUCUUUGUUUAUUUAUCUUGUUUUAUUAUCAUUAUCAUCAUCAUCUCAUUUGUUUUCAUAUUUGUUUCU
rnacentral:rRNA from 1 species